rnacentral:rRNA from 1 species
GGGAGCCUGAGAAACGGCUACCACAUCCAAGGAUGGCAGCAGGCGCGCAAAUUACCCAAUCCCGACACGGGGAGGUAGUGACAAUAAAUAACAAUACGGGGUUCUUUAGGAUCUCGUAAUUGGAAUGAGUACAAUUUAAAUCUCUUAACGAGGAACAAUUGGAGGGCAAGUCUGGUGCCAGCAGCCGCGGUAAUUCCAGCUCCAAUAGCGUAUAUUAAAGUUGUUGCAGUUAAAAAGCUCGUAGUUGAAUUUCGGGGUUAGUAGGUUGGUCAUGCCUCUGGUAUGUACUGGUCUCACUGAUUCCUCCUUCCUUAUGAACCGUAAUGCCAUUAAUUUGGUGUUGCGGGGAAUUUGGACUGUUACUUUGAAAAAAUUAGAGUGUUUAAAGCAAGCUAACGCUUGAAUACAUUAGCAUGGAAUAAUGAAAUAGGACGUUCGAUCUUAUUUUGUUGGUUUCUAGGAUUGACGUAAUGAUUAAUAGGGAUAGUUGGGGGCAUUAGUAUUCAAUUGUCAGAGGUGAAAUUCUUGGAUUUAUUGAAGACUAACUACUGCGAAAGCAUUUGCCAAGGAUGUUUUCAUUAAUCAUGAACGAAAGUUAGGGGAUCGAAGACGAUCAGAUACCGUCGUAGUCUUAACCAUAAACUAUGCCGACUAGGGAUCGGAUGAUGUUAAUUUUUUAAUGACUCAUUCGGCGCCUUACGGGAAACC